UUCAUUUCUCGUCCUUUUGGCUAAGAUCACAGUGUAGUAUCUUUCUAUCAUUUAAUAUCUAUCUCGCCCCUACCGGGACCAUACUAAAUUGAUUUUGGAACUGGUAGAUGGGAUUAGGGGCUUGCUCCUUCCACUCCACGCAUCGACCUGUAUUGCGUACCUUUCCAGGAACGUUGGCACCCCC